UACGUAGGGUGCAGGCGUUAAUCGGAAUUAUUGGGCGUAAAGGGCGCGGUAGGCGGCCAUUCAAGUCGAACGUGAAAUCCCUCGGCUACAACCCGGAGAACUGCGUCCGAUACUGUUUGGCUCGAGUCCUGGAGAGGGUUAGUGGAAUUCCCAGUGGUAGCGGUGAAACUGCGUAGAUAUACGGGAGGAACACCUGUGGCGAAAGCGGCGCACUGGGCCACAUCUGACGCUGGACGGCGCGAAAGCUAGGGGAGCAAACAGG
rnacentral:rRNA from 1 species